AUUCCAAUACAGAGAAAACCGCCUGGUUUUCUUUUAAAAGAUGGCUCUGCUAUCACUUCUGGAUGGACCCGCGGCGCAUUAGCUAGUUGGUGAGGUAACGGCUCACCAAGGCGAUGAUGCGUAGCCGACCUGAGAGGGUAUUCGGCCACAUUGGGACUGAGACACGGGCCAGACUCCUACGGGAGGCAGCAGUAGGGAAUCUUCCACAAUGGACGCAAGUCUGAUGGAGCAACGCCGCGUGAGUGAAGAAGGGUUUCGGCUGGUAAAGCUCUGUUGUUAAAGAAGAACGUGGGUGAGAGUAACUGUUCACCCAGUGACGGUAUUUAACCAGAAAGCCACGGCUAACUACGUGCCAGCAGCCGCGGUAAUACGUAGGUGGCAAGCGUUAUCCGGAUUUAUUGGGCGUAAAGCGAGCGCAGGCGGUCUUUUAAGUCUAAUGUGAAAGCCUUCGGCUCAACCGAAGAAGUGCAUUGGAAACUGGGAGACUUGAGUGCAGAAGAGGACAGUGGAACUCCAUGUGUAGCGGUGAAAUGCGUAGAUAUAUGGAAGAACACCAGUGGCGAAGGCGGGUGUCUGGUCUGUAACUGACGCUGAGGCUCGAAAGCAUGGGUAGCGAACAGGAUUAGAUACCCUGGUAGUCCAUGCCGUAAACGAUGAUUACUAAGUGUGGAGGGUUUCCGCCCUUCAGUGCUGCAGCUAACGCAUUAAGUAAUCCGCCUGGGGAGUACGACCGCAAGGUUGAAACUCAAAAGAAUUGACGGGGGCCCGCACAAGCGGACUUA
rnacentral:rRNA from 1 species